GCCAGGUGAUAAGAACAUCUUUAAGGUCACUUUUACCUGGGGAAAACUUGCAAGCUCCAAAAGCUGGGAAAUUGCAAGACUGUCUUCCUCAUUUCUGCACAAGGUAUCAAUCCAGAGAUUCAAAUAUGAAGAGUUGAAUUCUGUGAGAUGUCAUUGAAACAGCCUUCUCCGUAAUUCCACAAUAGUGAAUCAAGUUGAAGAUAAGUGGGAGGAUUACCUGGAGCAAGAAAUGGAGGUGCCCUGUUAAGGUGGGUUCUUGGCCUGGAAAGUAAGGGUAUUUUGCAGCAGCCUGGAGAGUGAAUCGAGUAAAAUGGGAGUCAGAUUAGGUUUUCAUGUUUAUACAAAACAGAGAUUGAGGAAUGAAUGGUUUGAUUUGACCUCUUGUGGAGACGCCCAGACAUGGAGGUGCGAAUCGAUGACUUUGCGGUCGGCGGCAGAAGAAGAUGAUGAUGAAGAAAA